GUCCCGGUUGUUUAAGGAUUAUAGUUAAUAGAGUUUAACUCUAGCUUAUAAAUUUACUAUCUAUAGAGGGAAAAUAUGUAAGUAUAUACUUGAUUUUAAUUAACCUUCAAUAGGUUAAAGAAAUUAUUAUUCUCAGUUUUUAAUUUUAAUAAAUUAAUUUAAUGUUAUAAUUAGUUAUAUAGUAAAAGGUUUAACUAAUGUUGUGCCAGCAGUUGCGGUUAUACAACAAAUCCAAGUAAGUAAUUAUUGGUUAAUAUAUUAUUAAAUAUAAUAUUAUAUUAUAAAAUUAAUUAUUAAGUGAAAUUUUAAUUAAUUAAAGGUUUAAGGUUUUAUUUUAAUUAUAUAUGAAAGCUAUAUUAGGUAACUAGGAUUAGAUACCCUAUUAACAUUAGUUGUUAAUUAUUUAACCUUAUUAUUAAAAGUUAAGUUCUUUAAAGUAAAAGAGUUUGGCGGUAAUUUAAUCUUUUCAGAGGAACCUGCCCUUUAAUUGAUAAUCCACGUUAGAUGUUACUUUAGUUUUAUAUAAGUUUGUAUACCUCUGUCAUUGAGUGUUCUAUUAGGAUUAUUUUCUUAAUUACUUUAAUGAGUAAAAUGUUAGGUCAAGGUGCAACUAUACUUUAGUAGAGGUGGGUUACAGUAUAUAUAAUAUAUGGAUUAAUUAUUGGUAUAUUGAUUAUGAAAGUGGAUUUGAUGGUAAUUAUUAAUAAUUAUUAAUAAUGAUUGAGGCCCUAAAUUAUGUACAUAUUGCCCGUCACUCCCAUUUAUAAAUGGGAUAAGUCGUAACAAAGUAGGUUUACUGGAAGGUGUACCUAGGAAGUAU
rnacentral:ncRNA from 1 species